CCCGUCACUCCUCCUUCUAUGCCCACUGCUGGUGCUCCCCCGUCGCUCCUCCUCCUCCAUCGUGAGGCGCUGCACUUGGCCGCAGUUCUACUCCAGGGUUAGGAUUUUCUAUUGGAUUGGUGACUGCUGUGAGCUGGUAAUAUGUCAUGCUCGGCCAUCCCGUUGCAGGUUGCCACCAAUGGGAAUACAGCCAGUGGACUGGUUUUGCUUGUCAGCGACCAAAACAAGAACAAGUCAAUUCUUAUAUGUACGUAUUCAAUUUGUGGAUGAUUGGAGGCUCUGUGUUCAUAGUUUAUAUGGGUCAUCU